rfam:Triticum aestivum genome assembly, contig: Triticum_aestivum_CS42_TGACv1_scaffold_592763_7BS
AAAGUACUCCCUCCAUCCCAAAAUUCUUGUCUUAGAUCUGUCUAGAUACAGAUGUAUCAAGUCACAUUUUAGUAUUAGAUACAUCCAUAUCUAGACAAAUCUAAGACAAGAAAUUUGGGACAGAGGGAGUAGUUG